GCUGGAAUAAAACAGGGAUAAUGCAGUUUCAGCUUUCUAUGGCUAAUCAAGAUGACCAUGAAGAGGCUGAGGACAUUAAUGAUUUCUGGAAUUCAAUUACUGCAGUUACCUAUGUUUCUGCAAAUGCAACCUUUGACUUUGUCACCAUAGACUUGGAUCUAUUGAUUUUACAUGAAUUCACAGAUGCUAAAAUUAUUCAAAGUGCCAAGAUCGGAAUGCAAGUGAAGAGGAGGAAUCUGUAGAUGAAGAAAGUUAAAACCAACCUCCAGAAUCCAAAGUUACUUUGCCUGAAGCACUAGCUAGUGCACA
rnacentral:lncRNA from 1 species